UUUUUUUUUUUUUUUUUUGUCUUUUUGCCUCUUCUAGGGCCACUCCCGUGGCAUAUGGAGGUUUCCAGGCUGGGGGUCUAAUUGGAGCUGUAGCCUCUGGCCUAUGCCACAAUCACUGCAACCCCAGAUCUGAGCCAAGUCUGCGACCUACACCCCAGCUCACAGCAAUGCCGGAUCCUUAACCCACUGAGCAAGGCCAGGGAUAGAACCCACAACCUCAUGGUUACUAGUCAGAUUCGUUAAUCACUGAGCCAUGAUGGGAACACCACAAUUUCCUUUUUAAUUUUUGUUUUUAUAAUAGCGAUCCCAAUGGGUAUGAGUGGUAUCUUGUGGUUUCAAGUUGCAUUCCCCUAAUGACUAUUGAUAUUAGUCAGUUUCAUGCAAGAGUCUCUAGUUCCAUCCAUGUUGCUGCAAAUGGCAUUAGUCUGUCUUUUUUUUAUAGCUGAGUAAUAUUCCAUUGUGUAUAUGUACCACAUCUUCUUAAUCUAUUCCACUGUCAAUGGACAUUUAGAUUGUUUCCAUGUCUUGGCUAUUAUGAAUAGUACUGCAGUGAACAUAGGAGUGCAUGUAUCUUUUUCAGUGAAAGUUUUGCCCAGAUAUAUGCCCAGCAGUGGAAUUGCUGGAUCAUAUGGUAAAUCUAUAUUUAGAUUUUCUGAGGUAACUCCAUACUGUUUUCCAUAGCAGUUGUACCAGUUUACAUUCCCACCAACAGUUGAGGAGGGUACCUUUUUCUCCACACCCUCUCCAGCAUUGUAUUUGUUAUUUGUUGACUUGUUAAUGAUGGCCAUUCUGACUGGUGUGUGGUGGUACCUCACUGGAGUUUUAACUUUGAUUUCUCUAAUAAUUGGUGAUAUUGAAUUUUUUUUUAUAUGCCUAUUGGCCAUCCAUAUGUCUUCUUUGGAGAAAAUGUCUAUUUAGGUCUUCUGCCCAUUUUUCAGUUUGGCUGUUUUUUUGUUGUUGAGUUGCAUGAGUUGUUUGUAUAUUUGGAGUUUAGGCCCUUGUCUGUUGCAUCAUUGCAAAUAUUUUCUCCUAUUCUGUGGGCUGUCUUUUUUUUUUUUUGGCUGCACCCAUAGCAUAUGGAAGUCCCCAGGCUAGGGGUCUAAUCAGAGCUGCACCUGAAGCCUAUGCCACAGCCAGAGCAAUGUGCAAGAUCCUAGCUGCAUCUGACCUAUACCACAGCUCAAGGCAAGGCCAGAUCCUUAACCCACUGAGCGAGGCCAGGGAUCAAACCCAAAACCUCAUGGUUCCUAGUCAGAUUCAUUUCUGCUGCAUCACGACGGGAACUCCUUGAAUUGUUUUUGUUGUUGAGUUAUAGGAGCCUUUACAUAUUCUGGAUAUUAAUCCCUUAUCAGACCUAUGAUCUGCAAAUAUCUUUCCUCAUUCUGUAGGUUAUCUCUUCAUUCUUUCCAUAGCAUCAUUUGAUGUACACGAGUUCUUUAUUUUUAUGAAGUUGAAUUUACCUGUAUAUUCUUUUGUUGCCUGUGCUCUGGGUGUCAUACUCAAACCAUUGUCAAAUCCCUGUAUUUUUUUCAAAGAGUUUUAUAGCUUCAGCUCGUUCACUUAGGUCUUUGACUCAUUCCAAGUUAAUUUUUGUAUACGGUAUAAAGGAAAUGUCCAAUUUCAUUCUUUUGCAUGUUGGAUAUCCAGUUUUACCAGUACCAUUUCUUGAAAAGAUGGUCCUUUCCUCAUUGAAUGAUCUUGGCUCCCCUGUUGAAAAUUAACUGAAUACAUGUGAGGGUUGUUUCUAGGCUCUCUAGCCUUUUCCAUUGGUCUGUAUGUCCAGGUGCAUGCUAAUAUCACAUAUUUUGAUUUUAACUUUGUAGUACAUUUUGAAAUUGGAAAGUGUGAGCUUUCCAGCUUUAUUCUUUGUUUGUUUUUUCUAGGGCUGCAUCUGCAGCUUAUGGAGGUUCCCAGGGUAGGGGUCUAAUUAGAGCUGUAGCCGCUGGGCUACACCAGAGCCACAGCAACACCAGAUCCUUAACCCACUGAGCAUGGCCAGGGAUCGAAGCCACAACUUCAUGGUUCCUAGUCAGAUUCGUUAACCACUGAACCACAACCGGGAACUCAAUUUUAUUCUAUUUUAAGAUUCUUUUCGUAGCCUAUCAUUUAUAUGCAGAUGGAUUUCAAUAUGUGGUGGAAGUAUAGCCAAGCAGGGCUCUGUGAGGCUCCUGGGCGCACAAGUCUUUCUGUGUCCUCCAGUUCUUGUUUUUAGGGAAUAAGCUUCAGCUUCCAUGACCUUCCCUAAGUUCCAAAGGGUAGUUGCUAAUCAGGGAAGGGAGGGAAUGCAGACACCAGAGAGGAGCAGAGAGACAAUAGUGCAGGCUUGGGGCAGGGUCCUGGUUCCUCCUCAAGGAAUAUAACAAUAUCUUUGAGCCUUUCGGUAGAAUUAAAACACCCAACAAACUGGAGAACUACUUGAUGAAUCAUUCUUCAUUCCAGGAAGGAGGACCACCAGAACCAGUCUUGGGGACACUAAACACCAGCUUUGAAAGACAACGCAAGUUUGCCUCUAUGCUGAUCCUUAUCAAUGGCCCUAUUUUUCUACUCCCCAAACUAUAAAGCCAUCUCCCAGUCUCUUCCACAGUCUUUAAGACAUUAGUCUGCCAUGGCCCCCUCUGCCUGACAAAUAAAGCUAUCUUUUUCUCCUUCACUCAAAAACUGUCUCCACAUUUCUAUUUGGUAACAGCUGACAGAGGCCUAGUUUUGGCAACAGAAGCAUUCAAGAGAAGAAGGAGAAAAUUCAAACUCAUGCUCUCAUAGUUCUUUACCUCUAGCAAGGUCCCAGUCAAUGUGUUUUUAUUCAGACGGGCCCACUCUGCACUCUUAGAGGUAUAAAGCAGUGUUGGGGAGGAAGAAAUUUUCCUCUCCCUUUCCAGCUUCUCGGAGACCUAGAAGAAGAGAAUUCCUUGAUCUAAGAGUUAAAUUGACAUGAGUUGCAGUAACAGGAGAAAAUUCAGUAACAUGUAUACAUGGGAGAAAUAACAUGUAUAUAAUAACAUGUAUACAUGGGAGAAAGUCAGGAAACUCAGUACCUUACCAAAAUGGCCAAAGCCCUCACCUUAAACUUCAUCUUCAGCUAAGGACAAAAGAAAAUGUUGAGGGUGGAGAGUUAAGUAAAGUUAUCAGGAAAAGCAGGGUAAACAAGGUUAAGAUUGUUAUGCAGGUUUAAGUCCUUGCCUUCUCCACAGAUAAGAGUUUCUCAAGAUUGGUCACUGUCUUCCAGGUAUAGAGAGGGUGAUACCCUUACAAAUGGACAUUUUCAAUUUACAAAUGUAAACGUUUCUUACAAUAGACAAAUCCCACUUGUUUUUUAGAGUCCUCCUCCUGUCCGCUGUUUAUCUGAAAAUAACUAACCUAAAACAAUGAAUAUGCCAAAGAGAUAUAUUUUAGGAUGGCAAAUUCUGCUCCCUACAGUAGCUUGUGGUCACAUUACAAAUAACUGGUCAUGAUGUUAUGGUACUGUAUGUAUAUACAUAUAUAUUAUAUGUAUAUGGAACCCCAUUAGGGUCGUAGAACUGAAGGAGCACUUUAUUUGUCUUUUGUCUUUUUAGGGCUGCAACAGCAUAUGGAGGUUCCCAAGCUAGGGAUCGAAUCAUAUCGGAUUCAUUUCCACUGCACCAAGAUGGGAACUCCAGAAAGAGUACUUUAAAAGGAGACCAGGGAGUUCCUGUUGUGGCACAGUGGUUAACAAAUCUGACUAGGAACCACGAGGUUUCAGGUUCGAUCCCUGCCCACGCUCAGUGGGUUAAGGAUCCAGCAUUGGUGUGAGCUGUGGUGUGGGUCGCAGACGUGGCUCGGAUCCCGAUUGCUGUGGCUGUGGCGUAGGCCGGUGGCUAAAGCUCCGAUUGGACCCCGAGCCUGGGAACCUCCAUCUGCCCGGGGAGCAGCUAAAGAAAAGGCAAAAAGACAAAAAAAAAAAAAAAAAAAAAAGACCAGAAUCAGGUUUCUAAUUCCAACUCUGCGCUUACAACCAAUGACCUUAACAAGUAUCUCCCCUCUUUAGGGCUCAGUUUACUUUACACCUGCCCUGCUACCUCACAGGGUAUACUAGGGCUCAAGUGACAUAAAUAGUUUAUGUGCAGCAGAAUGGUAGAUGUAGGGGAUCAUCCCAUGUCCUUGGCCUGUCUCUUGUUUGUAGAAAUGCUGUAGUCUCCCAGGCCUCCUCUAAGUUCCAAAAGCCUGUUAAAGAUCUGGCAUUGUCUAUAGGUGGCAUAGAUUCAGUUCCUGCCCUGGCAUACUGGCUUAAGGAUAAUGCAUUGCCACAGUUGUGGUGCAGAUUGCUGCUGCAGCUCAAAUUCAACCCCUGGCCUAGGAACUUCCAUAUAUUGCAAGUGUAGCCAUUAAAAAAAAAAAAAAAAAAAAAAAAUACAAAAAAAAAAAAGAAUUAAUGAUUGAACAGAUGUGAAUAUGUAGCAACAAAAGUAGCAAUUGGGCCAGGAGAACUGGUAAGAAUUUAAAUAGUAAAUCAGACAAGUGGCAGUCACAGAAUCUUUAGUUCCUCUCUGAAGUACUUAGAUAACACAAUCUUGUUAUGGGUUUCAAGUCCUCUUCAAGGAGAUUAAACACAAAAGCCUCUGCCUGUCUCACUGUAAUGCCCCUUCCCCCACCUUGAGCAAAUUGGCCUGCUCACUCCCUACUAGGGAAGGAAUGUCUUCCAUCUCUCCUCCCACGGCUGUAUAACCUGUUCCCCAUGCAAAUAAGGUAUCCUGCCCUGCCGGAAGCCAAUCAGAAGAUCAAAUAUGCCCUAUACAGAGAUCAAACAACACUCAGCCCUUACACAGCGCACAGGGGGGAUGGGACAGGAAAAAUUUGUGGGACUGGAGCAGAAAUUUGGUCCCCACUCAGGUCUGCAACAUGGGAAUAUAAAAACAAUUGUAAAGUGAGGUAGGACCUCUUUUUACUCUCUCUCUGAAUAUGUACUUUUGCUUUAGUAAAUUUGUAAAGCACCUGCUAUUUCAAUGAUUUCCUAUCACAGGGCAGGUACUGAGGAAACUGCCAUUCUAUCAUUCUGGAGCAAAUUCUAUCAAUCUGAUGCUCAUUUUGUGAGUGCUUUUACAGAUGCUUAAACACCCACUCAAAGGAAGAAGUUAAUUACCUGAUGACCAUGAGCAGGCAGCCCCCAGACCUACUGGAGCCUGAGGAUUGAUAAUGUUAACCCCUGUGACACUGCUCUGUUACCUCACCAUCAACCAAUCAGAGAGCAUGAGCUGGUCAUAUACCCUGGCAUAUGGAGGUUCCCAGGCUAGGGGUUGAAUUGGAGCUAGAGAUGCUAGCCUAGGCCAUAACCACAGCAACGCAAGAUCUGAGCCACAUCUGCAACCUACACCAAAGCUCAUGACAAUGCCAGAUCCUUAACCUACUGAGCUAGGCCAGGGAUCG
rnacentral:lncRNA from 1 species